CAGGCUUAACACAUGCAAGUCGAGGGGCAGCAUGGUCUUAGCUUGCUAAGGCCGAUGGCGACCGGCGCACGGGUGAGUAACGCGUAUCCAACCUGCCUUACACUCUUGGACAGCCUUCUGAAAGGGAGAUUAAUACAAGAUGUUAUCAUGAGUAAGCAUUUUCACAUGAUUAAAGGUUUACCGGUGUAAGAUGGGGAUGCGUUCCAUUAGAUAGUAGGCGGGGUAACGGCCCACCUAGUCUUCGAUGGAUAGGGGUUCUGAGAGGAAGGUCCCCCACAUUGGAACUGAGACACGGUCCAAACUCCUACGGGAGGCAGCAGUGAGGAAUAUUGGUCAAUGGACGAGAGUCUGAACCAGCCAAGUAGCGUGAAGGAUGAAGGUUCUAUGGAUUGUAAACUUCUUUUAUACGGGAAUAAACGGAUCCACGUGUGGAUUUUUGCAUGUACCGUAUGAAUAAGGAUCGGCUAACUCCGUGCCAGCAGCCGCGGUAAUACGGAGGAUCCGAGCGUUAUCCGGAUUUAUUGGGUUUAAAGGGAGCGUAGAUGGGUUGUUAAGUCAGUUGUGAAAGUUUGCGGCUCAACCGUAAAAUUGCAAUUGAUACUGGCAGUCUUGAGUACAGUUGAGGUAGGCGGAAUUCGUGGUGUAGCGGUGAAAUGCUUAGAUAUCACGAAGAACUCCGAUUGCGAAGGCAGCUUACUAACCUGUAACUGACAUUGAUGCUCGAAAGUGUGGGUAUCAAACAGGAUUAGAUACCCUGGUAGUCCACACGGUAAACGAUGAAUACUCGCUGUAGGCGAUAUACAGUCUGCGGCCAAGCGAAAGCAUUAAGUAUUCCACCUGGGGAGUACGCCGGCAACGGUGAAACUCAAAGGAAUUGACGGGGGCCCGCACAAGCGGAGGAACAUGUGGUUUAAUUCGAUGAUACGCGAGGAACCUUACCCGGGCUUAAAUUGCAACCGAAUAUGGCGGAAACGCUAUAGCUAGCAAUAGCGGUUGUGAAGGUGCUGCAUGGUUGUCGUCAGCUCGUGCCGUGAGGUGUCGGCUUAAGUGCCAUAACGAGCGCAACCCUUGCCGAUAGUUACUAACAGGUCAUGCUGAGGACUCUGUCGGGACUGCCAUCGUAAGAUGUGAGGAAGGUGGGGAUGACGUCAAAUCAGCACGGCCCUUACGUCCGGGGCUACACACGUGUUACAAUGGGGGGUACAGAGGGCUGCUACCACGCAAGUGGAUGCCAAUCCCAAAAACCUCUCUCAGUUCGGAUUGAAGUCUGCAACCCGACUUCAUGAAGCUGGAUUCGCUAGUAAUCGCGCAUCAGCCACGGCGCGGUGAAUACGUUCCCGGGCCUUGUACACACCGCCCGUCAAGCCAUGGGAGCCGGGGGUACCUGAAGUGCGUAACCGCAAGGAGCGCCCUAGGGUAAAACUGGUGACUGGGGCUAA
rnacentral:rRNA from 1 species